rnacentral:rRNA from 1 species
CUGAGCCUACGGGACGCAGCAGUGAGGAAUAUUGGUCAAUGGGCGGAAGCCUGAACCAGCCAAGUCGCGUGAGGGAAUAAGGCCCUACAGGUCGUAAACCUCUUUUGCCGGGGAGCAAGGGCGGGGACGUGUCCCGGCCCGGAGAGUACCCGGAGAAAAAGCAUCGGCUAACUCCGUGCCAGCAGCCGCGGUAAUACGGAGGAUGCGAGCGUUAUCCGGAUUUAUUGUGUUUAAAGGGUGCGUAGGC